UAGAUACCCUAUUAUUUUAAUUGUAAAUAAAAAAUUUAAUUAGUAUUAGUUAAAGUCUCGAAAGUUAAAGAAUUUGGCAGUAUUUCAUUCCUUUUGGAGGAACCUGUCCUUUAAUCGAUAAUCCACGAUUUAUUUAACUUGGUUUAAUUAGCUUGUAUAUCGUCGUAGUUGAGUAUUCUAGUAGGAUAAAUAUUCGAUUAAAAUUAUAUUUUUAUAAAUCAGAUCAAGGUGCAGCUUAUAAUCAAGGUUGAGAUGGGUUACAAUGAAAUUAUUUAUACGAAUAUUUGUUUUGUAAUAAUUUUUUGAAGGAGG
rnacentral:rRNA from 1 species